rnacentral:lncRNA from 1 species
GUUAAAGCAAAGCUUACAUACAUAGUCUAUGCACAUACAGGAUUUAUGUACUAUUUCCCCUCAGUUUCACAUUAAGUUGUUGCUGUUUUGAUUGGAAAGAAAACUUUUGAGUUUCAUGAAACAUAAAUAUAAAUCCAAGGUAUCAUUCAGAGAUAGAAUAUUUUAUAGUGCUUGUGGUGAUUGAAAAUAAUAUAUAAACUUUUUAAUUGUGGUUUUAAGUUUUGAAACAGAGAUGAUUGGUGUUAAGGCAUAAGAUGGUUGUCAGCCUGUGGCAGGAAGGAAGAUGGUGAAUAUUGCUGGCAUUCUGCAGGUCAACAAAUUUCAUGCAACACUACAUAAGAUUUAAGGAAGCAAAUAUGCCAAAAUACUGCAUCUGUUGGCAUCCAAGAAAGGACAGGAGGAAAAUAGAAAUGGCUUGUGACCUUUAGCCAGUAAGUGUUGCAGCCAAGAAGGGAACAGGCUCAAGAAACAGUAACACUCAAUGGGUUAAAUCUAAAUUUCUAUGAAAUACCAAACUAACACUUGUAGUUCUUCAUCAAAAUGGCAUUCGUUAUUUGUUCUUUUGGCAUUUAUUGAGUGCCAGAUAUGUGCCAAUCAUAAGUAGUUCACCAUCUUGUAGAGCAUGUGCUUUGCAGAAAUUUUCUGAGAGGUGGCAGAUUUACCUAACUCAGCUAUGCCAUCUUGUUGGCCUAUAUUGUUACUAAAGACAUAUACUAUGAAAUAGCUAAUCAGAGUAGAGGCAUUGGAAUAUAGUAAAACUUGUCAGCAAAAUUUUUAUAGAACAUGAUUUUAGGUUCACCAACACUGCUUUAAUGUUGUGACCUCCCACUUUCUCAGCCACCUUAUCAUGUUCUCUGUAUAGUAUUAAAGCUUUUACUGGAUCCUUUCUCUUGGCUAGUAAAAUGUUUUUGUUUUGUUUUGCUUUUCUUUCCUUGAUGACUUUAGUUCCUCACCUACGAUUUGUAUUUUAAAAACUUUCCUGUCCCAACAACUUUAAUGAAAUUAUCCUAAUUAAAGUCAAUGAAAA